UACGUAGGUGACCAGCGUUGUCCGGAUUUACUGGGCGUAAAGAGCGCGCAGGCGGCGCAGUAAGUCGGACGUGAAAUCCCUCGGCUCAACCGGGGAACUGCGUCUGAUACUGGGAUGGCUUGAGUUUGGGAGAGGGAUGCGGAAUUCCAGGUGUAGCGGUGAAAUGCGUAGAUAUCUGGAGGAACACCGGUGGCGAAGGCGGCAUCCUGGACCAACACUGACGCUGAGGAGCGAAAGCCAGGGGAGCAAACGGG
rnacentral:rRNA from 1 species